GAUGAACGCUGGCGGCGUGCUUAACACAUGCAAGUCGAACGGUGAAGCAGAGCUUGCUCUGUGGAUCAGCGGCGAACGGGUGAGUAACACGUGAGCAACCUGCCCCUGACUCCGGGAUAAGCGCUGGAAACGGCGUCUAAUACCGGAUAUGAGCUGCGAUCGCAUGGUCAGCAGUUGGAAAGAUUUUUCGGUCUGGGAUGGGCUCACGGCCUAUCAGCUUGUUGGUGAGGUAAUGGCUCACCAAGGCGUCGACGGGUAGCCGGCCUGAGAGGGUGACCGGCCACACUGGGACUGAGACACGGCCCAGACUCCUACGGGAGGCAGCAGUGGGGAAUAUUGCACAAUGGGCGAAAGCCUGAUGCAGCAACGCCGCGUGAGGGAUGACGGCCUUCGGGUUGUAAACCUCUUUUAGCAGGGAAGAAGCGAAAGUGACGGUACCUGCAGAAAAAGCGCCGGCUAACUACGUGCCAGCAGCCGCCGUAACAC
rnacentral:rRNA from 1 species